GUGCCGUUUGAGGUUCAAACUUUGGUCCCUAAAGCUAACCAGCACUGUUAGUUGGCGUUAGGGAACAGGGGUUUUAGAAGAGCACAAAAACAAGAAAGUCCCCAUAACGGCCAUUAACGGAGGCAGUCAGCGCUAAUGCAUUCGUUACAUAAAAAUCCACUAUAUAUAGUCCCUGCGCUUAAACGGGCGAGGAUUUUCGAAACAAAAGCACUUGUGGGUUUUGGCAGAGUGAUUUCCUUUUCCUUUCCCUUUGGCUUGAAAGGAUCAGUUUCUGUUUCUUUCUUUCUUUCUUUCUCUCCCACAUAUUCCCAGAUUUUUUUCCCUCCUUCAUUUUUAUUGGCAACCCUUUUCUCAUCUUUCUUCACUGUACUCAACAAUGGCAGAAGCAAGACCUCUUUUGCCAUUGAAACAAGCUCUUCUUUCUCUUCUUCUUACUUUUCUUGUUUUUCUCCUCGCUGUGGCUCCUCUUGGAGUUCAAUGUUUUCAAGAGAAGAAAGUCCUUAGCUUGCAGGAAUGGCAAUGGAAACAGGAGGCCUAUACUUCAAGUUGUCUCUCCCAGAAAUCAAGUGAGUCCUACCAAAGUGAAAAGGAAAAUGUUUAGUCCAGCCAUUGAAUGGCCACCAAGUCUUUUUCCUUUAGCUUCUUUAUUUAUUCUCCAUUUUGGGAUCUGUAAUCUACUACUGCUUUCCUUUUUUGCUAGGAUCUAUAACUGCUUUCAUGCUUUAUGGGAAACAACCAUCAUUGGUCUCUCUCUUUCCCUUUAACUUUGUUAGGUUGAAACUGAAUGUCAUUGAUAAAAGCUUGCCCUUGACUUUACUUUUCUUUACUUUCCUUUCAUUGCAAUAUGCAGCCUAUUAUUGAAUUAUGUAGUUUAGUACUUCAAUAGUUAUCAGUAAAUUUUCUUUCAUUUUCCUGAAACCAACUGUUUCUAAUUAGACCUGCACUUUGUCCACAUACAGUACUUCAUGCAUUAGGUACCUAAAUACAUCCAUAACUCUGAUCAUUUGCUUUUAAUUAGUGUUCUUCUUCUUCUUGAUGUUAUUUCAUUGUCUGCUAAGAAAAGAAAUUGCUUUUGUGAUUAAUGUUUUGAGUGGCAUUUUUAUUUCUGUUUGGAAUCAUAGGAUGGGAAAAGGGUGCAACCAUUCUGGAAAUGAAGCACAGAGAUUCCUGCUCAGGACAGAUUACUGACUGGAACAAGAAGCUACAAGAAAGCUUGAUUCUUGACAAGUUCCAAGUUCGGUCACUUCAAUCUCGAAUCAAAAAGAUUAUUUAUGGCAACAUGGAAGAUUCUGUAGAUAGUCAAAUCCCAUUAGUUUCUGGUGUAAGACUUCAGACACUGAACUACAUUGUUACAGUGGAAUUAGGCGGUCGAAACAUGACAGUUAUUGUAGACACAGGAAGUGAUUUAACAUGGGUUCAAUGUCAACCUUGCAAUGUCUGUUAUAACCAACAAGAUCCUCUUUUCAACCCUUCAAUAUCCCCUACAUACCAAGCAGUUUUAUGUAAUUCAUCAACUUGCCAAUCCCUCCAAUUUGCAAUUGGGAAUUCAGGAGUCUGUGGGAGCAACCCACCAACCUGUAACUAUGUUGUUAACUACGGUGAUGGGUCCUAUACCCGUGGUGAGCUAGGGACAGAACAGAUCAAUUUAGGAACCACUCGUGUCAGCAAUUUCAUUUUUGGAUGUGGCAGGAAUAGUAAAGGUCUCUUUGGAGGGACCUCGGGUCUUAUGGGAUUAGGAAGGAGUGAUCUUUCAUUGAUUUAUCAAUCUUCUGCGAUAUUUGGAGGAGUUUUUUCCUAUUGUUUGCCAAACACAGCUGCUGAUGAUACAGGUUCAUUAGUCUUGGGUGGUAAUUUUUCAAUUUACAAGAACACAACUCCCAUUUCUUAUACUAGAAUGAUUCCCAAUCCACAACUACCCACCUUCUACUUUCUCAACUUAACUGGUAUUAGUAUUGGUGGGGUGGCUUUGCAAGCGCCAUCCUUCGUUCAAGGUGGUAUACUGAUCGAUUCAGGGACAGUCAUUACCAGGCUUCCUCCUUCAGUGUACAGGAUUCUGAAAGCAGAGUUUCUGAAACAAUUUUCUGGGUUUCCUUCUGCACAGCCUUUUUCAAUCUUGGAUACUUGUUUUAACCUUAGCGGAUAUCAAGAAGUUGAUAUUCCUACAAUAAAGUUGCACUUUGAAGGAACUGCUGAGCUGAAUGUUGACGUAACUGGGAUUUUCUAUUUUGUGAAGACUGAUGCAUCUCAGGUCUGUCUGGCCCUUGCUAGUCUCUCAUUUGAAGAUGAGAUCCCUAUAAUAGGAAAUUAUCAGCAGAGAAACCAAAGGGUUAUAUAUGAUACCAAGGAAUCCAAGUUAGGAUUUGCUGCAGAAGCUUGCGGUUUCAACUGAGCAUAAGAUAGUAUUAGUUGUGUGGGUGUGAAUAUAUUUCUCUGAUGCAAUUGCCAAUUUCUUCAAUUGGCAAAGAAACAGUAGAUCUAUAGUUCUCCUCAUUUUGCAUCACAUAUAAAUAGCUAUAUUGGGGUAAGGUAUAGAAUAUAUAAAAGCUCUUCCUAUUUCUUGAAGAUUUUCUUGGGUGUUAUAAUGCGAUCUCCUGGUCCUAACACAGCAAAAAGUGUGCAAGUUGUACAUUUUUUUUUUCCUGUAAGACCUGUUUGAAUAUAAGAAAAAGAUUGAAGAUGCUCCAAGAUUGUUAAUGUGGUUAAAGAAUGAAGAUUUGC
rnacentral:misc_RNA from 1 species